rnacentral:misc_RNA from 1 species
GAGAGAGAGAGAGAGAGAGAGAGAGAAUACAGAGAAGGUAUUUCUUGUGUUAAUGAUUGUUUGAUGGACUCAUUACAAUCUCAAGCUUUAUACAAGAAUUACAUUUUCCCGCCACCCUCUGUUAUACAAUUAGCGGCAGGUGCAACCAACCAAUCUCCAAUUCACCAACUGCGCUCUUUGAGUAUUAUUGACUCAGCUAUCACACACAUCACAGCUCACAUAACCACAACAAUACUUUUACAUGAAUAUCUCUGUUAAGGCUCGCUCCAUAUUCAGAUACUGUUUGAACCAAAUGGAUCAUAAUUUGGAUGAAGCACCAGAGAGUGCAUGACUGACCAACUCCCGCCUGAGGAUCUUCCCUCCAGGAGAUUUUGGAAUAGAGUUGAUAAAACCUACUCGCCUUAUCUUCUUGUACGGUGCAACCUUUUUUGCAAUGAAAUCCAUAACUUGAGCCUCAGUGAUACUGCUUCCAGGUUUUCUCACAACAUAGGCCAUGGGAAUUUGUCCUGCCUCUUCAUCAGGGUACGGAACCACAGCGGCAUCAGCAAUUUCAGGAUUGGAUUGUAACAGUUGUUCCAAUUCAGCUGGAGGCACCUGAUAUGCUUUGUAUUUUAUCAGUUCCUUUAACCUAUCAACAACAUAGAGGAAACCCUGAGAGUCAAAAUAACAAAGAUCCCCAGUCUUUAACCAACCCUCCGAAUCCAAGGUUUCAGCAGUUGCCUUCUCAUCUCCUACAUAACCUUUCAUGACAGUUGGCCCCCGCAACCACAGCUCCCCUCUUUGGCCAGGAGGCAAGGCCUCUCCAGUUUCAGGAUCAACAAUCUUUGCUUCCAUAUUUUCGGCUAGGAGACCGACAGAACCAUGCUUCUUGGAUUCUUCAGGUCCUAUCAUCCUUGCCGCCCCACCUCCAGUCUCAGUCAACCCGUACCCCUGGAUAAUAUCCACCUGUGGGAAUUUUUCCUUAAAUCUAUCGGCAAUAUCCUUCCCCAGAGGUGCACCGCCGCAUCCCAGCAA